CCUCGGGAGGCUGCAGUGGGGAAUAUUGGACAAUGGGCGAAAGCCUGAUCCAGCCAUGCCGCGUGUGUGAAGAAGGCCUUCGGGUUGUAAAGCACUUUCAGUGGGGAAGAAAGCCUUGGGGCUAAUACCCUCGAGGAAGGACAUCACCCACAGAAGAAGCACCGGCUAACUCCGUGCCAGCAGCCGCGGUAAUACGGAGGGUGCGAGCGUUAAUCGGAAUUACUGGGCGUAAAGCGCGCGUAGGCGGUCUGAUAAGCCGGUUGUGAAAGCCCCGGGCUCAACCUGGGAACGGCAUCCGGAACGGUCAGGCUAGAGUGCAGGAGAGGAAGGUAGAAUUCCCGGUGUAGCGGUGAAAUGCGUAGAGAUCGGGAGGAAUACCAGUGGCGAAGGCGGCCUUCUGGACUGACACUGACGCUGAGGUGCGAAAGCGUGGGUAGCAAACAGGAUUAGAUACCCCAGUAGUC
rnacentral:rRNA from 1 species